ensembl:lncRNA
GUAGGGCUGACUGUUUGUUUAGCAGAACAACUUCUUCAUUUAGAAAUAAGGAGUUUCUGAUAUGACAGUGAAAUUCAAGGAUUCGAGUGAUAAAGUCUCAACAUGAAAGUCCGUCACAUUGUUAUCUGCUUCAUCUUCCUCACACUGCAGGAUGGAAACACUGUUCCUUACAAUGCAAAGAUUGCCAUGCACACAGGAGUGGAAGGAGGAAACAUCACAGUUAAAUGUUCAUUUUAUAUCUUUGGAAAGUGGAAGCUCUUAUGUAAGGACCAAUGUGAAAGGGGAAACAUUCUCAUUGAAACAGCCGACCUUGUAGCUCAAAGAGGCAGAUACUUUAUUAAAUACAAAGAAGAAGAGUUUCCAACACGUCAUGCAGUUUUUUAUGUCAGCAUCACACAGCUGGAAAAAUCUGACUCGGGGCUGUACCGGUGCUAUUUGGACAGAGACUUGGAUCCAUAUUUGUUUGAUAGCUUUCAGCUCACGGUGACAGAAGCAUCAACAGCUUCAACACCAGCAUUGGGCCCGCAAUCUUUUUCAACUUCCACAGCAAUCACUAAACAGCCUGAAAUAACAUUUGUAAAUUCAGGUUUUCUCUGGCCUGUGGUUAUAGCUGUAGUCAUGGUGUUUUUGGUGUUGUUUGUUGUUGUGCAUCUCAUCUGCAAAAAGAAGACUACGGACUCUUGUGAGUUAUGUUUCACCUCUUUGGCACCUUUAUGAUAAGCUGAUUAGUGAUUCUAAUGUGUGGAUUUUUAACCCUGUAACCGACUGCUGACAUUUGUGGAGCGCACAGAGUGUACAGUCUCCAACCAGCCUUACAUCUAAGAAUAUUUCAUGUUUGUCUAAUACUUUUCUGUGUUUUACCGUUUUCAGGUUUGAAGAAACAGAAAAUUAUGAAUUAUGAAAAGAGCGAGGUAAUUUGUACAGAAUCUAUUGUUUAUGAUGUCAACAUGACGAAUACCAAUGAAGGCAGGGGGAGGAAUCUUGUUUUGCAUCUUUUAUGAACAGCAUAGAGCAGCGCUUAUAGUACACUGACUUGGCCCAAAAGUUUUAUACUCAGCCAGAACAACAAUAAUGAUGGCACUAUUCCUAAUUAGGGAUGGGUACCGGUAUCGUUCUGACAUUGUAAGUGCGCAUGCGCCAUUAGUGUGCUGCCUGCUGUAACCCUAAUUUCCCUCGGGAUGAAUAAAGUAUUCUGAUUCUGAUUCUGAUAUCACCGUGAGUUAACGCACCUGAAUCAAAUGAUUAGUUCAUUACCAUGCCUCUGGAGAACUUCAAGACAUGUUGAGGAGAUAGGACAUCAGCCCUUGAGGCCUGGAGUUCCCCCACCUAAAGGUGCUUAUCUCAAACCUCAAGAGCUUCUGAUUUAACAGGGUUACUUUCAUCAUUCUGUCUUUUCCAGAUUGUUCUCUAUGACAAUCUUCUGACGUUGCCACCUGAAGAGUCAGUAUACCAGAGCCUGGAUCCAGCCAGCAGGGAUGAAGACCAAGUGUACCUUACACUUAAACAGACAUGAAAGCACAAAUAAUCCAGCAUUCAGGCCUGAAUUUAUGUGUCACAACAGACACAGAUUGAUACAACAGACAACAUCUUUAAACACUUCUUUAUUCUUCACUUUACUAAAAGAUAACGAUUUUACAGAUUGAGCAUUAUGAUCAUUAUAAUAUUUUGGUUUAAAAUAAUUUCUCUUCUCAUUCUGGUGCAAAAUUAGAGCUCAUCUUAUAUUCAAAGGCACCACCUGGGGGUGCUGUAGGAGUAGUGACAAAUAUCAGGAUUAAAUAACAGCUCAUCAAACUGAUCUGUAAAGUUGCAAAGCAAUAAUAAACAUUUGUAUAUUGGUAUGUCUUCUUUCCAAACAGGUUUUCCAAACUCUGAGAACAUCUGAGAACCAGAGGGGAAAACAAACCCUCCUACCCUAAAAACCACGAAGCACUCUGAGAGUGCAAACAUCCACCAAAGUUUUAUUAGAAUUCACACAAACCUUUUUGAGUUAUUGUGUUUACACACAGAAAGAAUGACACACAUGCAUGUUAAAACUACCAGAAACAUAACCUACUUGGAGAUGGUUACAACAGAAAAAGAAAAAAUAAUUGCAAUUUCAUUUAUUUAUUUGGGGGGAUUUUUUUUUUUUGUCAUCCACCCAUUUUCUUCCGGUCCAACCUGGCCACCAAGAUCUCUCCCUUGGCCCCCCCCUCUUCCAGGCCUGUCUCCUGGGCAGGGCCCUGGUAACCCUAUCCCAGGCAGGGUGAACUGUUCCCUUGAGCUUACACUGAUAAGUGCCUUUGUCGGGUCCUUCACCCAGACCAAUUUGCCAUGGGAGACCCUACCAGGGAACAAAAGCUAACUGUCAGCACACACCCUGGAACCUGUGGGAGACACAAACCCCGAUUCAUGGAGGGGGGAUUUUUAGUUAUGUUUAUUUAUUUAUUUUUGAUCUGUGAUAAUGGGUCGAAAAGAGAAGUAUAAAAUUGCCCCAAAAUCUGGUCUGACUUUUUAAUAAAGUAAAUAUGUCUGAUGUUGCUGUGGAAUGACUCCCAGCAGAAGACAAAACUUCAUAAAAAGAUUUAGGCAGAAUCAUGACUUGACAUCUGUUUUUGAAGCACCGCUAUAUUCUGUAUCAUGUGCUAACACAGGAUCCAUGACAAAAACUGUAUUUAAACAUUAUUUUCUUUUUCUUUAUGUUUAACUUCUUCUUUAGUUAAUUGGUUGUUGUUAAUGGUUUUAAGCUCUUGUAAGUCUUUCAUUACUACUAAAAAAAAUGAUUUUACUGAGUAAAAGAUCCGAAUUUA